rnacentral:rRNA from 1 species
AAUGAGACUUCAAGGAAACACUAUUUAUGUAUAUAACCACGUCAUAUUUCAUACAUGGCACAUCCAUAAGUAUUACCUAUAACUUCUCGGGCGGAAGAAGUUUCAGUUUACGACCUUUAUUUUACCCUAAAACGGGGUAUGCACCACUAUUUUAUAGACACUAUCACCGUUCGGUGCACGAUAUUGCUGCCUUCCUAGCAAUAUCGAAGUCUAUUAAACAACCCUGAGCCAGACGUGCCGAAGGGAAAACCCAACGGCGCUGUGCGUUCAAAACUUCACCACUCUAAGCGUCUGCAAUUCGUGGUAAAUAACGCAGCUAGCUGCGUUUUUCAUCGAUACGCGAAUCAACCGAUCCAUCGCUAAGGCUAUUUUCCACUGACUAAUUUAGCCUUUUACUAGAAACAAGUUAAUUGGGAAUAGAUUACCGAUAGUGGCGGUUGUGUCGGUGAAGACCAACUCAUUAAGGCUCCCUGCAUAGCAGAUCCAGUGAUUUCUCACUCAGCCACCAGUUAUCGAUGGUUUUUGGUGAGGCGACAGCCCAGCUCUGUUCAUAAAGUCUAUGCUCUACCCUCACGGGGAACAUACCCAACUAUCAUUGCCGUCACUCAAAGCGGCUCCAAUCAAGAAUAGACACCUCACCGAGAGCUUAGAUGGGGUGAGACACCGACUGGAACCAAGAACAAGCCUGAUUCCAUGAUUAUCGGCAUCUCGUGAUCAGCAUGUACC